rnacentral:tRNA from 1 species
UGGGGUAUAGCUCAGUUGUAGAGCACUUGCCCAGUAUGCAUGAGGUUCUGUGUUCAAUGCCCAAGAUUACAA